rnacentral:pre_miRNA from 1 species
UAUAAGGGAUUUUGAUAUUUUGCUUGCACUGUUUGACCAUUCGUCUUAUUCAAAAAAUUUUGGAACCAUUAUUUUUUUUGUGACUUACUUUAUUAUCCAAAGUGCUUUAAGCACAACUUUUCGUUUUUUAUAUUUGCACAAAUUUUUUGAAUAAGACGAGUGGUCAAACAGUGCAAGCAAAAUAUCAAAAUCCCUUAUA